AUGGGCUCCGUGUCCAACCAGCAGUUUGCAGGUGGCUGCGCCAAGGCGCCGGAGGACGCGGCCCGGGCUGCGACGAGCCGCAGCUGCUACGUGGUGCCAGCAUCUGUAAGUGGUUCAACCUGCGCAUGGGGUUCGGCUUCCUGUCCAUACCGCCCGCUCCGGGGUCGCGCUCGACCCCCCUGUGGACGUCUUUGUGCACCAGAGUAAGCUGCACGUGGACGGCUUCCGGAGCCUGAAGGAGGGCGAGGCAGUCGAGUUCACCUUUAAGAAGUCUGCCAAGGGCCUGGAAUCUAUCCGAGUCACUGGACCUGGUGAGGUGUUCUGUAUUGGGAGUGAGAGACGGCCAAAGGGUAAGAACAUGCAGAAGCGCAGAUCAAAAGGAGACAGGUGCUACAACUGUGGAGGUCUAGACCAUCAUGCUAAGGAAUGCAAGCUGCCACCCCAGCCCAAGAAGUGCCACUUCUACCAGAGCAUCAGCCACAUGGUAGCCUCAUGUCCACUGAAGGUCCAGCAGGCCCCUAGCGCACAGGGAAAGCCAGCCUACUUUCAGGAGGAAGAAGAAGAGAUCCACAGCCCUGCCGUGCUCCCAGAGGCCCAGAAUUGAGCCACAGUGGAUGGGGGCUAUUCUUUCGCUAUCAGGAAGUUUCAAUGAGCAGGCAGAGUGGAGAAAGUGGAGAUAGGGUGGGUUGGGGGUGGUUGGCACUGCCAUGUAUCUCAGGCCGGGUCAUGGCAUCACCCCUUCUUCCCUCUGGGUGGGGGAAAAGGGUGAGGCAAAGGAACCCUCCCCAUGCUCUAUCCAAAUGCAAGGGAGGGCUUUAGGGGGAAAUCACCCUAGAACCUGAAUGCUUUAUCUGAGACUCCAUCCCCAGAAUCUCUACGUUUUGAAAGUGGCCUGGAUAGGAAGUUGUUUUCCUUUUAAAGAAGGAUAUGUAAUAAUAUGCCCAUGCCAGAGUGAAGCGAUUAAGUACAAGACCAGAUUAAUGGACCCCACCCACAAGCCACUACAUUCUCUGGGAGGGACUCUCUCAGGAGAAAGGCAGGGUUUUUUCCACAUCUUGUAUUCUCAUACCCAUUCUUGAGAUAGGGUGCUGGGAACUGUCCCAAGCAAUGGGUAGUGAUGACAGGCAAAAAGGGUGGUUGGAGGAGAACAGCUGCAGACCUGCUGCUCCUAAACUCACUCCCACCCCAUUCUGGGCCAAUGUGAUUUUAUUUAUUUGCUCCCUUGGGUAACUGCACCUUGGGUCCCACUUUCUCCAGGAUGCCAACUGCACUAGCUAUGUGCGAAUGACGUAUCUUGUGCAUUUUAACUUUUUUUCUUAAUAUAAA